AAGAAGGUGUAUGUGGGUCUUUGGCGGGGCGCUCGACGAUACCACCUAUUCCGACCUCUGGUGCUAUUCGUAUGAUGCAGCAGAAUGGACGGAGUUCCCUCCCCAGGGAGACGGACCUUCAUCGCGGCAUUCUGCUUCAGCAGUCUGGCGGGAGGGAAGCAUGAUCCUGUUUGGUGGCAUAGUCGGCUCCACGUAUUUUG
rnacentral:SRP_RNA from 1 species